rnacentral:rRNA from 1 species
GAGUUUGAUCAUGGCUCAGGACGAACGCUGGCGGCGUGCCUAAUACAUGCAAGUAGAACGCAGUAGCUUGCUACUGAGUUGCGAACGGGUGAGUAACGCGUAGGUAACCUGCCUGGUAGCGGGGGAUAACUAUUGGAAACGAUAGCUAAUACCGCAUAAUAUUAAUAUUGCAUGAUAAUUAAUGAAAGGUGAUUGCACCACUACCAGAUGGACCUGCGUUGUAUUAGCUAGUAGGUGAGGUAACGGCUCACCUAGGCGACGAUACAUAGCCGACCUGAGAGGGUGAUCGGCCACACUGGGACUGAGACACGGCCCAGACUCCUACGGGAGGCAGCAGUAGGGAAUCUUCGGCAAUGGACGAAAGUCUGACCGAGCAACGCCGCGUGAGUGAAGAAGGUUUUCGGAUCGUAAAGCUCUGUUGUAAGAGAAGAACGGGUGUGAGGAAAUUCACACUGUGACGGUAUCUUACCAGAAAGGGACGGCUAACUACGUGCCAGCAGCCGCGGUAAUACGUAGGUCCCGAGCGUUGUCCGGAUUUAUUGGGCGUAAAGCGAGCGCAGCGGUUAGAUAAGUCUGAAGUUAAAGGCUGUGGCUUAACCAUAGUACGCUUUGGAAACUGUUUAACUUGAGUGCAGAAGGGAGAGUGGAAUUCCAUGUGUAGCGGUGAAAUGCGUAGAUAUAUGGAGGAACACCGGUGGCGAAGGC